rnacentral:tRNA from 1 species
UCCUUCAUAGCCCAGUGGUUGGGGGCCGGUUUGUCCUCCUAGAGGUCACCGGUUCGACUCCCGCUUGUGGCGAA